CUUGUUCUUCUUCGUCUUCAAACCUUGUCCUCUUCAAUUAUCUUC
rnacentral:sRNA from 1 species